UACGUAGGCAGCAAGCGUUGUUCGGAGUUACUGGGCGUAAAGGGUGUGUAGGCGGUUGUUUAAGUUUGGUGUGAAAUCUCCCGGCUUAACCGGGAGGGUGCGCCGAAUACUGAAUGACUUGGAGUGCGGGAGAGGAAAGUGGAAUUCCUGGUGUAGCGGUGAAAUGCGUAGAUAUCAGGAGGAACACCGGUGGUGUAGACGGCUUUCUGGACCGUAACUGACGCUGAGACACGAAAGCGUGGGUAGCAAACAGG
rnacentral:rRNA from 1 species